GUGUCAGCAGCCGCGGUAAUACGUAGGUGGCGAGCGUUGUCCGGAAUUACUGGGCGUAAAGGGUGCGUAGGCGGAAUAUUAAGUCAGAUGUGAAACUCCAGGGCUCAACUCUGGAACUGCAUUUGAAACUGAUAUUCUAGAGUGCAGGAGAGGAAAGCGGAAUUCCUAGUGUAGCGGUGAAAUGCGUAGAUAUUAGGAAGAACACCAGUGGCGAAGGCGGCUUUCUGGACUGUAACUGACGCUGAGGCACGAAAGCGUGGGGAGCAAACAGGAUUAGAUACCCUGGUAGUCCACGCUGUAAACGAUGAGUGCUAGGUGUAGGGGGUAUCGACACCCUCUGUGCCGCAGUAAACGCAAUAAGCACUCCGCCUGGGGAGUACGGUCGCAAGACUAAA
rnacentral:rRNA from 1 species